CCACAGUAGAGUCCACUAGAGACAACAUCUACUCAGAGACCACAGUAGAGUCCACUAGAGACAACAUCUACUCAGAGACCACAGAAGAGUUCACUAGAGACAACAUCUACUCAGAGACCACAGGAGCAGAUAUCAACACAGCCUUUUCCACCCACAGUACCCCUGCUCAGCCAGAGACCCACAGUACCCCUGCUCAGCCAGAGACCCACUUUACCCCUGCACUGAGUGUCUUUGAGGACAGACUGAGGAAAAUAGACAGUCUGUACUGUCCCGCAACAGACCAGCAAAGUUGGAAGGACCAAGAGGAUGGCUAUCAGGUGAUGAACAGCAACACAGGGCCUCUAAGGGGCCUCACCUCUCCCCCAGAGACCCACCAAUCCCCCUGCCUGGUCUUAAAAGAGCCCAGCAGCCCAGCCCUCUGCCUGGGGGGCACCAUGAGCCUAGGGGGCACCUCAGUCAACAGCAGCCCUAAGGUUAGGCUGGGGGGCCAGGGGGUUCGCCUGGGGAACCAGGGGGGAAUGGUCUACCUAGGGGGCACUGUCAAGAACAGCCCUACCCUCAGCCUUGGAGGCAGUGUGGACCUGGGGGGUACUGUCAACCUCAUCCUCAGCUUGGGGAACCAAGGAGACAGUCAUGUGGAGGUGAUGGAGGCUAAUCUUAGGGUGGGUGAGGAGGAGAGCACAGAGCCUGUCCACAGGGACAACAACAUGACAUCAGCUCCUGCAUACGAGAGUAUGUUACUGCCCCGCCUCCACACCAAGACCUCCUCCUCUUCAUCCCCCUCCUCCUCCAGGGCUCCUCAAUCUUGCGUCUCUUUCCCCUCCUCCCUGCCCAAGAACACCUCCAUCUUUUCUAGUCUAAAGAUAAGGAGCAAGAAGAGGAGAAGGAAGAGAGACGCUGGCCGCCACACCAUUCAGAAAAUCAUGGUUGUAGAGGGGGAGGAGCAGACAGAGGUGGCAUGUCCUGCUGAAGCUGCACCCCAGCAAAUCACGCUGUACGACACCCAGACCUGGCCAAUGAAGGAGGGCCGGAGGAAGAAGAAGAGCCUAUUAAAGGCCGACGGGGUGGGCCCAGGGCAGGGGGUGGAACUCGUGGACUACAUGGAUAACCCAUUGGCCAGGGAUAUUGAAGAUGAAUGUUCUGGGGUGUCCACUGUCAGCCCCUAUGCAGUGACAGAGGCAGUCUCUAUAGCUCCACCCAGGGGCCAGGUGAGGAGCCACUGCAGGUUCCUGUCUCUGGGGUCUGUUUUGACCUUCGACCUCUCCAAAGACAUGAGGUUGAUCCCCAGUAUACAGGAUGUCAUCACUAUAGGACUCCCAGAACACAGGGGAACCUCCAACCCAAACCUCAAUCCCAACCCUCACACAGAGACACAUGCAGCCCUCAGCUCUUUCAAACAUACCCGCUCCCCUCCCUCAGACACGCACAGAGCACCAGAUAAUGAGGCCGUCACUACUUACAGAUAUGAAACAAUGACACAGAUUCAGACACAGCCACUACUGACACUGACACAGCCACUACUGACACAGACACAACCACUACCGACACAGACACAACCACUACUGACAAAGAUACAGACACAGACACAACCAUUACUGACACAGACACAGCCACUACUGAGACAGACACCGACACAAAUACUAAAACAGACAAAGCCACUGACACAGGCUAUUCAGCUGGAGCCUCUGUCUAAUCUAGAUACAGAUUUUCCUCCUCCUCCUCCUCCUGCCCUGGAUGAGGACUGGGAUCAGAACGUAUCAAGCAAUGACCUAUCCCUAACACAGAUCCAGACCGUACUCCAGGAGCCUGAGCAGGAGUGGUCGGAGCUCAUCUUCAGCAAGCAACCACCAAUCACAGCUUAUUGCCCAAAGAGUCCCACUCCAAUGAACCGAGACCAUUACAAUUACAUGGAAAUGACCAUGGUUAGUAGAAGUCCCAUUGUAAAGAGCAAGGACCCCUGUCCCUCCUCAGCCUAUCAGAACCAUGAGAGCAAGGACCCCUGUCCCUCCUCAGCCUAUCAGAACCAUGAGAGCAAGGACCCCUGUCCCUCCUCAGCCUAUCAGAACCAUGAGCGCAAGGACCCCUGUCCAUCCUCAGCCUAUAAGAACCAUGAGAGCAAGGACCCCUGUCCAUCCUCAGCCUAUCAGAACCAUGAGAGCAAGGACCACUGUCCCUCCUCAGCCUAUCAGAACCAUGAGCACAAGGACCCCUGUCCAUCCUCAGCCUAUCAGAACCACGAGUGCCUCAUUCAGGACCUCAAUGGACACCAGUACCAUCAUAGGUUGAAGACCCAUAGAGAGAGUGUUGACCUCCAGGAGACCAGCCAGGCUUCUCAGAUGGUUGUGAAUCUGAAGGUCAGUGGGUUAGGGAGUAUGAUGCAAGACUCAAUGGACUCUGGCAUCUCUGGUGUCACCAACUCUGGGAGCUUGAAGCUCAAUGCACCUGAUGUUCUCCAAGAGCCCCAGCCCAUGAGGACUGUGGUGGGGAGGCUAGUGUCUCUGGAGGAGGGGCGUAUGGAGGAUGUGUCCACACCCAGGGGAAAUCCCACAGCAACCCCAGCUCCUGCCCACCCAGAGACAAAAACAACACCCAGAAACAGACACCACCAGACAGAGACAGAACUCGACUCUGAUCCGGUCGACCCCGACCUCACCAUCCAUCCAGACCACCAGCAGUUUGAGGAGGUAGAGGAGGAGCUGGAGGACAUCUGGAACCAUAGCAAUGGCUACAGACAGAGUAUCUCCUCUGACAUCAUGUACCAGCCACACCAAGAGGAGGAGGAGGGGGGAAGUAGCAACACCCCAGGACUGACCACAGACCCCCUCUCACCCCCCCAGGCCCAGCCCCAGGCUACCCCCUACAGAAAGCUGAUAACAACUUCUGCCCCUAACCUUCUGGUGGCUGAAUUCACACUCCCCUCAUCCCUCCAAACCCUACUGGGGUACAACCAGCACCAGAACCAAGACCAGGGCUUUAGCCAAGACCCUAACUCCAGAGAAGAGCUCCCUAUGCUGGCUAACAGAGACAUGAGGUCCUGGGCAGCUUUCCCUAGUCAGGACCAACCCUGGAGGACAACAGCACUGGUCAAUGAAACGGCAGCAGAACCAGUCAAGCUACCGGAAAUGGAGGACCAGAAGAGAUAUAUCUACCAGUAUAGAGAGGAGGAGGAAGAGGAUGAGGAGGAGAAGAUGGAGGACACAGGUUGUCCAAAGGACCCAUCAAUGAGUCUGCUGUCUGUCCACAUGGGUCUGCACGGAAACAAUCAGCGAGCUACAAGUUGUGGCACUCUGGAAGGUGUGAUGGAAAAGCAUGGAGAGAGUCUGGCCACAGGGGGGCGAUGUGGCACUAUGAAUGGGAGUGGGUCUGAGCUGCAGACGAUGGAGGGAACUCUGGAGAGGAAACACAAGCUGCAGCUGGGAGGGAAGAAGGCCAGGUCUCGAGCAUGGAGCUCCCAUCAUGCAGUGCUUUACAAACAGACACUCUGCUUCUACCAAGACAGAAAGGAUACACUGAGGAACUGUGUGUGUGGCCUGUCUCUAACCCUGACGGGUGCAGAAUGUGUCUCAGCCCCAGAGAACACUAAGAAACCACAGUGUUUCAGUCUGCGCUUAAGAGACGGCUCAGAGUACCUCCUCAACCCAGCAAACCGAUUCAUGAUGAAGAAAUGGAUGCUGAAAAUACAAGCCAACAGUGUGUCCAGUGAGCAUGUCUCCUCCAUGACGUCACCCAGCGACCUCUUGGUUCAGGACCCCCCCGCCCCCUUCACCACCUCUUUCCUCUCACAAAGUACCAGCACAGGGACGGACAGAGCCAAGGAGAUAGUUGUCCUGACCAGAGAGACCAGAGAGACUCACCGUCAGAUCCCUCAGUUGCACCCAGAGAAACAGCAGGACCCAACAUCCUCAUCACAUACAGGCCGUCGUGGUAAAGGCCGUCGUGAAGAUAACUAUGACUCCCAGAGACAGAAACUGUGUGGUAGAUACAGGGAGAACAGCCCUUCCUCCUUGCACUCCUCCAUCUCUCCUUUCUCCCUCCACAACUCCUCCUCCAUCCCUCCAUUCUCCCUCCACUCCUCUGUCUCUCCUCCUUUCUCCUCUGUCUAUAGAGGUGGUCAGGACUGGCUCAGUCAAGUGAACAAGUGUCACUCAUUUACCUCAGCAAGGUACCAGAAUAUUAAACCAGCGUUGCUGCCCCCAGGAGGCAGAGGCCGGGACUACGGAUCAGUGGGUCUGGACUGUGGGUCAAACUACUCCGUGACUAUGAUUAUAGGAGACAAGCAGUCUGCCGCUUCUCCCACUCUCAGUUGUGAUGGUAGUGGUCCAUCUAUCACCAGUCACACUGACCCACAGCGCCCCCUCCUGGAUGGAUGGCAGCACCACUCAUUUCACCAGGAAUCUACUACAAGAAGGCAGCUUCACCAGCACCAAGCAAUGUACCACCACGACCAGGAACCAUCUCUGAGGUCCUGCACCGGUCUGCCUCCGCCACGCAAGAAGUCUGUCUUCAACAAGUUCUUUGGAAAGAAAGACUGAAGCUGUUAUCAAUCAAUCACAUAUUUCUCUUACCUUUCUUUUGGUAUUUUCUUAAAACUGCAUCAUCGUUGGUUAAGGGCUUGUAAGAAAGCAUUUCACUGUUGUAUUCGGCGCAUGUGAGAAAUAAAAUUUGAUUUGAUAUUUAUGAAGUCCUUUUUUACUUUUACAGUCCUUUCUUGCCCGACAGCUGAGUUAUAACGGACUGAAGUUAACAUCAUAGCAGCACGUCUGGACUCUGACGUCUUGAGUUUGCUAUGUGAGGGCUGCUGUACUCUGUAUUUUUACUCAAUAAGGAUUGGAAACCAAGCAGGCUUUGUGUAUUAAUGUGUGGUGCUCAUUAAAUGACCCCUGCUACAUACAGUAGCUAAUCUAUUUGUGUUUCAACCAUCCGUGUGUGCUGGUAGUCCUAAGUCCUAAAAAUACAGGUAAAACAAGCUGUGUGUCCUGGAUAAUAGUGGGCCCUGAAAUGAUUGACACCCUUGAUACAUGGUUGACACCCUUGAUACAUGGUUGACACCCUUGAUACAUGGUUAACACCCUUGAUAAAUGUUUGACACCCUUGAUACAUGGUUGACACCCUUGAUACAUGGUUGACACCCUUGAUACAUGGUUGACACCCUUGAUACAUGGUUGACACCCUUGAUAAAUGGUUGACACCCUUGAUACAUGGUUGACACCCUUGAUACAUGGUUGACACCCUUGAUAAAUGGUUGACACCCUUGAUACAUGGUUGACACCCUUGAUACAUGAAUGACACCCUUGAUACAUGAAUGACACCCUUGAUACAUGAUUGACACCCUUGAUAAAGAUGAGCAAUAAUGACUGCAUAAAACAAUUAAAAUACUGAGCUAGAUUGCUAUGCUAAAAAAAGGGAUUUUUUUUUUAUACUAAUACAACUGCUCAGAUAAAGAGAUUUUGUUUAAAAACCUUAAAGUCGUCCAAAUGAUUCAUACCCGUUUUCAGUACAUUUCAACUCAAUUCAAAUUACUUUAUUGGCAUGACUUAACAAUGUACAUAUUGCCAAAACGUACAUAUUGCCUUUCAAUACCACACCUUGUGAGGAUAACCGCAAUGAGCCUUUUUCUAAAAUGCUUUAUUAGUUGGAGAACACAUUAGGAGGGAUCGUAGACCAUUGCCCUCUUCUAUUCAAACCACCAGUUUCCAAUGGGUUUUCAGUCCGGAGACUGAGAUGGCCAUUGCAAAAUGUUGAUUUUGUGGCCAAAUAACCAUUCAUUUGUGGAUUUUGAUGUGUGCAGAGGCAACCAUUUUUUUAGCUAAAAUGUCCUGGUACUGGAUAAAAGUUCAUGAUGCCGUUGACCUUAACAAGAGCCCCGGACCAGUGGAACAAAAGGCGCCCACAGCUACUGUAGAACAUGCUGGUGGAUCUGUAAUGUAAUGGGGCUAUUGACCUUCCACUGGUCCGGGGCCCUUGGUAAGGUCAACUUUACCCAGUACCAGGACAUUUUGGCCAAAACACUUUUUUGGUUACUACAUGAUUCAAUUUGUGUUAUAUCAUAGUUUUGAUGUCUUCACUAUUAUUCUACAAUGUAGAAAAUAGUAAAAAUAAAGAAAAACCCUGGAAUGAGUAGGUGUGUCCAAACUGUUGACUGGUCCAGUAGAGUAGCCACUAAUAUAUAUACACACACACACACACACACACACACACACACACAUAUAUAUAUAUAUACACAUACACACAUACAUACAGUGGGGAGAACAAGUAUUUGAUAACCUGCAAAAUCGGCAGUGUUUCCUACUUACAAAGCAUGUAGAGGUCUGUCAUUUUUAUCAAAGGUACACUUCAACUGUGAGAGAAAAUCCAGAAAAUCACAUUGUAUGAUUUUAUAGACCUUUUAGACCUUCUCCAGAUCCUUCAGGUUUCGGGGCUGUCGCUGGAGGUGUGUCUACAGAUACACUGUAUUAAUGGAGGUGUGUCUACUGAUACACUGUAUUAAUGGAGGUGUGUCUACUGAUACACUGUAUUAAUGGAGGUGUGUCU
ensembl:lncRNA